CAAGCGUUAUCCGGAUUCACUGGGUUUAAAGGGUGCGUAGGUGGGCAGUUAAGUCAGUGGUGAAAUCUCCGGGCUCAACCCGGAAACUGCCAUUGAUACUAUCUGUCUUGAAUAUCGUGGAGGUAAGCGGAAUAUGUCAUGUAGCGGUGAAAUGCUUAGAUAUCCGGAAGAACACCGGAGGCGAAGGCGGCUUGCUGGACCUGGUCUGACGCUGAGGCGCGAAAGCGUGGGGAGCGAACAGG
rnacentral:rRNA from 1 species